CAGCAUCCUCCUCCCCUACACACGCAUCUGCUGGCCCUGUACAAAAUAGAGGAGGAUACAUAUAGGGAGAGACGAAAGACAGAAGGAGAGAGAUGGGGCGGUAUUAAAGUUUCUUCACUGCGUGUCGCCGGAUCGCAGUCAUCGGCCAGUCGACGUCCUCGUCGGACGUUCCCAAUUUCCUCUCGUCCAAUUUCUUUUUUUUUCUUUCAUUUUUUCUUUUAAAUUUUUUAGUUUGUCGUGUUCGUCAUCGGUUUUGAGGGUUUGAUUGGCAGAUCUAAAGGUUAGUUGAACACAAUUUCAUUUUGCCAAAACAAAUUUUAAAAAAUCAUUAGGAGAGAGAGAAAGGCGGCCAUCUUAUUAUAUACGAAAGGCUCGGCGUGUCGUACAAUCUCGUGGUAUUUCGCGGCGAGUGUGUCGAUUUCUAUCAUUUCAGAAUUGAUUUCCGUUUCCACAUUAUUUUGAUGGGGUUUGCAUUGAUGUUGCCAAUAUUUUAAAAGGAUAAGAAACUAAAAAAAAUUCGUUGGGUUGUAAAAGAAAAACAAUGCCGAGAAUCAUCAUCACGGGGAGAGCCAAGAGAAUGGGAGUGAUCCUAAGCGUCGCACGACGUCAGCGCCACCGUCGCAAUAGGAGGGGGGUUGGGAUGUGCUCCCGAUCGAUGAGUCGACGAGAGGGUGGAGUAGAAGCGCCCGUACACACUCACAUGGUAUAAAGAUGGCUUCACGUUUUCUCUCUCAUCUAGUGUGUGCAAUUGUGUUGUGUGUGUGUGUGUUUGGCCGGCGGUUUUUCAGAGUCCGGGUUCGACGCCGACGCCAUCUGCCGUCGCUCAGUCAGGAGGGGGGAAGCAGACAGUUAGGUGGGGUGGGCAAGGAGGUGGUGGCCGUAGUCGCAGAUGGAGAGACAACGUCGACAGUUCGUUUUGUUUGAUGAUGUGACUCCUCAACUCACAUAUCGUCGUCGUCACCACAUCAUUUUUCAACGUUAGCAUAUUUAUGACACACAGCAGACUCCCGACCAAACACAGAGGCCAAGCCGAUCAUCGACCAUGUUGUUUUCUUCAUUUUCUUGCUUGGUCUUGCUUAUUGGAUUCUUUUUAUUGUGUGUGUGUUUUUUUCUUCUGUUGUUGCAGGGGCAUCAAAUAUAUAGGAGGCAUUUCGACACCGGAAGCUGAAGGAGCAUCACGUAUCAUCUCUCGCUGUGGAGAAAAUGGUUCAAUGACUUGGCCUUAUCAUUCACCAGUCCGGUUAGAUUUUUUGGAAAGUUCCUUUUUCUUGGUUGCACCAAGAUUUAGUUGAACACCCUACUGGACGGAGAACUGAUAAGGGCGUGUCUUGCAACACAAUCGACGAAUUCUUUUUUUUUUGACAACCAACAAAACUGUAUAGUGAUAUAAUGUUCUUUCGUUCUUAAUCAUUGACAAAAUGUGUGUAACUUUGUGGCUUCUUUUGUUUCGCUUGUUUGUUACGUAUCCGAUGGCGUUAUUCAAUACACAUUCUCAAAAACGAA